rnacentral:rRNA from 1 species
GGGGAAUAUUGCACAAUGGGCGCAAGCCUGAUGCAGCAACGCCGCGUGAGGGAUGACGGCCUUCGGGUUGUAAACCUCUUUCAGCAGGGAAGAAGCGCAAGUGACGGUACCUGCAGAAGAAGCGCCGGCUAACUACGUGCCAGCAGCCGCGGUCAUACGUAGGGCGCAAGCGUUGUCCGGAAUUAUUGGGCGUAAAGAGCUCGUAGGCGGUUUGUCGCGUCUGCUGUGAAAACGCGAGGCUCAACCUAGCGCCUGCAGUGGGUACGGGCAGACUAGAUUGCGGUAGGGGAGACUGGAAUUCCUGGUGUAGCGGUGGAAUGCGCAGAUAUCAGGAGGAACACCGGUGGCGAAGGCGGGUCUCUGGGCCGUAACUGACGCUGAGG